UAGGGUUCCCUUUCUUCACGUGUUCCACCUCUACCUUGUGCUAGGGUUCCUUAUCAAAUCAGUCAUUUGCCAUCACGUCGUUCUUCUCUUAACGCCUUUGUUAGGGUUUCAUCAUCACACAUCAUGCGUUUUCCACAUUUCUCUCAUUGGAAGCAUGCCGCUAGAGUUCAGACCGUGAACUCUUUCGUGUGUAGCUCAAACCGCGUCAACACAUAGCCACGCAUCAACCCUUUUCUUCAUUUCUCUCUUAUGGAUUGUUAGAACCGUCCAAACCCUCAGGCAUUCCACCUUUACAUGUUGUUCACGGCAGCUUUGCCGUUAGAUUUCUCUUCCGUUUUCUUUUCCCGGUUGCCUUCAGCUAUAAAAGGCAAGCCAACAUUUUUGUAAAAGAGCUUUGAUUAAUUUGAGAAGUUUAUCCCCAAUUUCAGAGCUCACUUUCACCUUAGAUGAGGAUUUCUCCUCCUAGGGUUCCAAACACUGCGAGUGUGUGCAUUUCAGUGAGAGACGAGAGUGAUCCGAACCCCAAUCGAGCUUCCGCUGCAUUUCCAUCGAUCAACUACACUGAAGAACGCUCAUCAUUUGGUAUCAGGAGCACCAGGUUCACCGGUUGGACCGCCGCGUUUAGGCUCGCUUCAAAGAUAAGUGUUCUUUCUCUUAUCUUAGUGUUUUUCUUCUUCGCUGUUCGAUUUCGGUCUUGUUCAUGCGCUGAUUGAGUCUGUUUUUGUCUGUUAAAUCUGUGUCGUGGUGAUUUUGUUUGCUGAAAUUGAUUCAAGUGUAAUUGUCCUGAUUUUUUCUGAAUCAAUACUGUGAUGGUUUAAUGUUUAGCUUUCUGAAUCUGCCGCUCAUUGAAUGUCAAGUAGGUUUAAUUUCAGUUUUGCUUCCUUAGCUUUAAAAUUUUAUAAUCUCGUGUUUUGUCUUUGGUAAUGUUUCGUUGUUUGAUAUGUCACUGAUUCCAUAGAGUUGUCCCUAAUUUUUGUGUGUUGUUUCAAUUUCAAUUGUAAAAUGUGUGUCUAGUAUCUCAAUUUGUGUUUUGUGGUGUUCUUUAAUUGCUAUUAGAUCAUUGGCAAUUGUUCUGCAGUGUAUGCUUCUAGCUGUUCCUGGUUUUAAUCGUGCCUGAUUUCUUUUUCAUUGUUCCUGAUUUACUCUUGCCAAUGAUUAUGCUGGCCAAACUGUCAUGUUUUCCACUGCUUUGAUGAUACAUAUGCUUUGUUCAGAUCGUUUCAAUGGAAUUCUAGUUGGUUUUGGUCCACACAUAGGCUGUGUUUUUGCUCUUUUGAUUGCUUUGUUGCUGUUUGAACUUCAUUGCUGGCCUAGUAUUUUUUUUCUUGAAUUUGAGCGUUGCAUCAAUCAAUGUGAGCAUUCACGGGUUUCCUGUUUCCUUCUGCAAUUCAGAUUUGCUUUGCUCAAUUCAUGUCCAGAUUUUCCACAUAUUGCUUGGUCAUUGGAAUUUGAAUUCAACACUGCAAUUAUUGUUUAUUUGCUUUGAAUGCCAAUACUUUGUUUUCAUUUUUUUUUGUCUAGUGCUGGUUUAGUUUGUCUUGAUCUCUCAAAUGUUGCAUAUCUUACUUGGCCAUGUGUGUUUAGAUUUGCUUGCUUUUGAAUCUGCCUUGUUCAGAUCAUGUUCUUACAAGUUGCAUCAGUUGGCAUUAUUUUAAUUCUCCUUGUUGCUUGACUGAAUUGUGGAGUGAACAUUGGAUUCACAAUGAAACAUUGCGUUUAUGCAAUAUCAGUUGCUUUAAACCAACAAUUUUUCACUUCUGUUUCAAUAAGUUUAUGUUUUAUCAGAUUCAUAGUGCAGCUGUUUCAUUUUGUUUGAAUCACAAAGUCAGUGUUGUUUGCAUAUAGUUUUAGUGCCUAUAUCAGUUUCACUAGCCCGCAUCUUUUCAUUGAUUCUUGCUCCAUUAAUCUCUUCAUGUCUUAGAUUCAGCUCUGCCAUGUAAUUUGUUGAGUUGCUACUGCUGUUUUUUUUUCAGAAUUUGAUCAUUGAAAUUGCUACUUGUUGAUGUGUCGUAUCUGCUAUAUCAUUUGUAUUGCAGUUCCAGUGAAAAAGAUCUAUGUUGAGUAAUUCAUGAUAAGUAUUUCUGGUCUGCAAAGUGCAUGUUUGAACCACUGAUUUGAGUAAAACAACGUGCUCCACAGUUCACAUAGAUACUACUUUCCUCUUAAUUUUUAACUUGCAUAUGCUCUUGAUUCAACUUGUUUGAGUUUUGUUUGAUUUUAGUUUUGUUAAUCUUGUUCUAGACACAUUCCUUAGGUUCUCUUUUGUGUGCUAUCCUUUACUGCUUUGCCUUUUUCUUGCUUGUCUUGUUUGCUUAUUUCAUUGAGUUUGUCAUUCAAUCCUUCACUUGAUGUUGUCCAAUUCUUCCAUUUGAGCUUUUCUUGAUUUUCUGCUUUGUUCUUCUUAUCUGGAAGAUCGUGAGUGAUCUUGUUUCAGUUGGCAUACAACUCACUGCUUUGGCAACUUUGUAGGUACCUUUCUCUUGAAGGUAGAGCUGCAGGAUGAAUUGUGGGAAAAGACAUUGAGAUAGCAUUCCUAGAGGACUUGUGGAGUGAGUUGGGACUUAAAGAAGGAGUGCAAACACGCGAGAGCAAAUAGAGAGCAAACUGCCCACUUUUCCAAGCUACCAAUUAUAGCAGUGCUGGAAAUUGGGCCUGUGGCCCAAUUCUCCUCCGUGCCUCGUUCCAUCGCACACCUUCAUGUUUCUGCAACAUACAUUAGUGUUGGGCCAUUCUAGAACUACAGCCCAAACUCUCUCUUUCUGAAUUGAAGUCACGCGUAUGCUGAAGCACGAUAUUGGCCCAUGCUUCUACACCAUUCACGAAUGCUAUCCUGCCAGCACAUAUUGGGCUUCCAGCCCAAUUCCUUCAACAUCUGCAACGAAGCCCCAUCACGCGCGGAGAUGUAUUCUUCAAGCACGGCUAUGGUUCCCUUUCUUCACGUGUUUCGCCUCUACCUUGUGUUAGGGUUCCUUAUCAAAUCAGUCGUUUGCCAUGACGUUGUUCCUCUCUUAACGCCUCUGUUAGGGUUUCAUCAUCACGCAUCACGCGUUUUCCACAUUUCUCUCAUUGGAAGCACACCGCUAGAGUUCAGACCGUGAACUCCUUCGUGUGUAGCUCAAACCGCGUCAACACACAGCCACGCAUCAACCCUUUUCUUCAUUUCUCUCUUAGGGAUUGUUAGAACCGUCCAAACCCUCACGCAUUCCACCUUCACAUGUUGUUCACGGCAGCUUUGCUGUUAGAUUUCUCUUCCGUUUUCUUUUCCGGUUGCCUUCAGCUAUAAAAGGCAAGCCAACCUUUUUGUAACAGAGCUUUGAUUAAUUAGAGAGGUUUAUCCCCAA